ensembl:lncRNA
GGGUUCCAGCUGGACGGCAGGACGCGGGGCCGCGCCGCGAGGAGCGCUGGGUGGCACACGCGGUGCCCAGGCCGCUCCUGUGCGUCCCCGCGGAUGGCCAGCUCCAACAGCUGUGCGAGUAAAGGUGACCUGAGCUGAGGGUCACGUGCACGACCCGCAUCAGAAAAUAACCCCAAAACGCGUAGCUCACUUCAGAACGUUAAAGCAGAGGAAGGCUGCCCCUUCUUGCUCUCGCGCGUAGGAGACGCAGCAGUGCAGCCGUUUUUGGCCGACAAGACAGGACAGCAUCCUACCUCCGGGGGCGGCAAAGGGGCCCGUGGCGGGUCCUGGCACGCGUGUCUUCUCUGGUCUUUGGACCUGGGGCAGAGGACGCAGAGCAGAGGCCAGCGGAGGCUGCGGGCCAGCAGGCCCUCUCCGGGAUGCCAGAACGAGCCUCGGACGCGGGCCCGCGGGGUGUAUUUUGGGAGGCCAGCCUCGGGCCGCCGCUGAGAGGGCUGCAGGCUGGCGUCACGGAGACACCACCGGAAGGAAGGCCUGAGAGUUCUGGAGCCCAGCGCCAAGGGCCCAGCCCCGGAAGAGCAGCCGGGCUGCAGCGAGCACUGCUCUCGGCUCACGUGCCGAGGACCCUCUCAGCUCUGGGACGCCUCGGGCUCCACCGUCAGAACUGGCCAGACGUGCAGUGCAGGUGAAAGACCAAGCAGGUGUGGGUUCCUACCUCGUGGCGCCUAGAGGAACAGACAGACAACAAAGACACGCAAAACGAAGCGACUAGAACUGUGAUAAUAUGGCCUGUCUAGAGGACAAGCCUCGCCUGAAGCUUUGACUCAAAGCCCAGAUGACCCACAUUGGCCUGCUGGCCACACGGCCCACAGCCUGGCCCAGGGGGCUGCUAGCUUGUGUGUGCCUCCUGAGUUUCAGCUUGUUACCUGAAAAACCACACAGAACAACAACAGUAAGACAGACAAGGUGCCAAGGUCCACGUGAGGUCAGACGGAGUGUGUAAAGGAGUUUCUGGACCCCAGACCUGUGCCUCUACAGGACCUGUGCACAGGCAUCAGCCCCAGAAAUGUGAGGGUAAAACACGGUCGCUCACAGCAUCUGCACACAGGAC